AUUUCUCUCAGUAUGCCUCUCAGGGAGCCAACAAACACCGUGGGCCACACAUGGGGCCCUAUGGAAUUAUGGGAAACGAUGGGGGUGAACUCUCCUCACAAGGAGGGGAACUGGGGCAGGUGGUGAGAUGCUAGGUACCUAGGUAGUGAUUAAGCAACAAGAAUGGAUGUGACUUUUUUGCCACACACAGGGCUUGGGCAUGAACACAAGGAAAGAACCAAUUAAUGGCCCGAAGUGGAUGCAUGCACACUCGUUCAUUCAUCCCAUGAAUAGCAGGUGUUGCUAUUCGGGAGGAGCACAAGCAAGGGAGGCCUCUCAUGAAUAGCCCAGCGUCAGGCCCUCCUGGAAGGCCUCUCUGUGUUUUUAGACUCCCAGCGGACCACCUCAGAGCAGAGGAAGAGUCUUGUGAAUGAAUGCAGGGGCUUUCAAGGGACAUGAUUGCUUUCAAUGAUGUACACAGUGAGCACAGCGAGAUGCAGACUUCUGCAAAGAUGUGCAUUCAGAUGCCGAGCAGCGGAACAAAAGAACAACACAGGAUCCCUCUUCCCGCUGGAAAGCUGGAUAAAGCAAUGAGACGGGCACUGGACAGGACUGCAUUAAGAUAAAAUCCCGAAGGACGCAUUAACCGACGAUACCGGAAGUGGUUCCGGGAAACAGCCCUCAAAGACACAACCAAACAGCCAAAGAGCUUCACUAGAAAUAAGCUCCAAUGAUCACUUAAAUUAUUUAUGAAAAUAACAAGUGAGGGAUGUAUUUCUUAGCUGCCGGGCCAGCGUUGCUGAAAUGACGGAUGCAGUUUAAUUGUGAGGGCUGCAUAAUCACAACCUAAGCAGGAUCCACAGCCUUGCUGACGUCCUGUGUCAAAGUCAGGACAUGGGUUUGGAAACAGUGAGCACCUGAAACUAGAUAGGGAGAUAUCAGUGUGGAUUCCAAAGAAGCAGAGCCUCCCUUGCUAGAGGAAGCUUGCUUGGCGAGUCUCUACUGAAGACCCUGCAAUAAAGUCUUGUAGGCAGUUGCCCGACA
rnacentral:lncRNA from 1 species